UGCACUCCACCCCCGCGCAACGACAGCGCAUUGCAACCGCUGCAGGAAAAAAGCUUGUAGAAUCGUCGAGAAAAUUCCGCCCUUGCCAUAUUUCUCACUUCGUAUCUUCCCCAUUAUUUAUGUGGCUCUCGGAAAUAUUUUUGUUGUGCCAGUGAACAGUGAGUUCGUAAAGUAAAAAUAUCAUGGUCGAUGGUGAAAGAGGAAUAAAAAAAAAAAAAAAACAAUGCAUUCAAAUGAAACCGAAGAAGAACAAGAAAUUAAAUUCUGAAAAAAAUCGUCAUUGGUUUUUUGUUUCUCCACGAAACCCCGCAUUCUUUCAAUAAUUAUUCUCGCACUUGUUACUGAUUUUGUGAAUAUUCGUGUUGGGUCAUCAUUGAAGAUUUUCCAUAAAAUUUCAAUCGGUAGGUAUCAUAAAUUAUGAUCUCAAGAAAUCGAAAGUUCCGGAAUAAAAAAUUGAAAAGGUUUACGGUCUCCGUGGAUGCCCAGGACCCCCGGGGGACUCUCUAUCCUUUCGUAAAUAAAAAAUGAAAAAAUAUCUCCGCGGGGCCCUGCAGUACACGAAGAGGGCAGUGAAUCCAGCAGCACACAUGAGACGGGACUAUCGGAUAAAUGAAUCGAACGAUCCUGGAUGCUGUAUACAUAUGGACGCGAUGAUUUAAUGGAAUAUAAUACUUUCCACGUCAAAUUGGUCUCGUGAACUCGGACACGUUGAAGCAUUGAAAUUUUUUAAGUAACUCAAAGUAUUAAAUAAAAUUUCAACUGAAUAUUUCUCGUGAAACAUCUGCGUGAUUCGCUCGAAUUUAAUGCGUUGUUCGAAGGUCAAAAUUGUCACAGAAUAUGGAAAGUAGUGUAUAAAUUAAUGAAAAUAUCAAUUGUUUGGGUAUGAAACUCUCCGUGUUUUUAGAGCGUUGCAUCUCACUCGAGCCCCGCGGGAGUAUAAAGUAUAAUAAUUUCUGGCGAAUAUAAAUUGGUCGCCCACACGCUCUCGCAUCGAAGAAUACCAUUGCCUCGCGAUAAAAUGUUUCAUUCGCUUAUUUAAAAUCAAUUAACGGUUUGUUUAUUCAUUUUUUAUUUACUCUCGUAAUGAAACAAUAAAUGGUUGUUGAAUGUUUUCUUUUUUAAUUGACUCGGAAAACACAAAAAUUUAUGUGGUUCCGGCCGGGAUCGAACUGGCGACCUUCUGCGUGUAAAGCAGACGUGAUAACCGCUACACCACGGAACCAACUUGUUUUUUGGUAUAUUUUUAUUGUUUAUGGGUUAGUGAAAUUUUAGGUAUUGACACUAAUUAAUUUGGUUAAUUUCAAGACGUUAGGAAAAAUACAAUUGACCAAAGAAUUAAUUAAGUUAAUAAAUUUAAGUUGGAAUCGCACAUUUGAACUUCAGAUACCAAUUGAGCUGGGCUCAUCACUCAUGGAUUACCGACGGAUGGUAACUUUCUCGGCUGGUAAAAAACGAACGUAUUACAAACUAGCAUCUUUGCCAGAAACUUUUCUACCGAAAAAUUCAUUGAUAACGAAAAAAAACAAGUGAAAAGUCAAGUUAAAUUUACUGAUCAAAGUAAAAACUCACUUUGAACAAUAAAUUCAAUUUUUCCAAUACUAGAAUUUACCAAUUUCUAAUACCAGAAGCACAUUUUACCAGAAUAUUUCUAUCGGUGAAUGUAUAAAUCGAAACAACUGUACCAUGGAAGUAAAUAAUUUUUAAAAAAUGUAUACGACGCAACAUAUUUACUCCAUAUAAAAUUUCUGUCAUAUUACGUAGGGUGUCAAUGAAUUUUGGUAGAGUUGUUUCUGGUAGAGAUAUAAACGUGCCGUAUUACACAAAGAUAUAUUACUUUCUUUAAUCUGAAUUCAUUUUUUGAACAAUAAUUAUAUGCUGUGUAUGAUUGGAUGAAGAAGGAAUAAUAACAUUGGAGAAAAGUUA